rnacentral:lncRNA from 1 species
AUGAUGUGGAUCCUGCCAGGUGCUCUGGAAGGGGCCAUGCAGCUCCCGCUCUCCUCUGACCCUCCAAGGACCCUCUCCGGGAGGUAGGCGUGCUAGGGUCGCUAUUUGUAAAUUUGAGGCGGCAGUGGCAUCAUACUUGAGUUCUGUAACUACAUGAGGGCACGAUUAGGGCUCAGUGCUGAUCCUGGCUCCCACUCUGGUGCUCUGUCACUGAGGAGCCUCCUUUGGGGGCCAUUCUUCUGUGAGUUUUGCUUAACUACAUGGGGGUGGCUGUAUGCCAUGCUGAAGGCUUUUCCCCCACCCUUCUAUUAAAUCGAGUUCCUGCUCCUUCUCCCAGGCUCGGCUUGUGGGACCUUUGUGUCAGCCUGCUCUUGGCAACAGCGGGCCUCUCUCUCCCAGCUCUGGGCCUCCCCACUCUCCAGCCCCUGCAGUGGGAGUGGGUCCCCCUCACGGGGAGGGGCCUUGGCAGGAGCUGAAUGCUGGCAGGGCUGCGGCCUGUGGGCAUGUGAUUGAAAGUGCUCCGGCUCCCGGGGUCAGCAUGGCUCAAAGCCUCCCAGCCCCAUGGGAAACACUCGGGGCGGCGCUCUCACUCAGACCCUCUCUUCCACCCUGGCCCCCUGGUGGUAUCCUGGCUCCACAGUGGCUCUUUCCUCUCAGCUGAAAGGACAGUCCCGCCUGCCGGCCGGCGACUUCCACAUUAGCAACAACACUGGUGGGGGUAAUAAUGUUAUAGGAGCUCCCACAGUGCUGGGAACUGCACAUGGCCAGGAACGUGGGUCCUCUGCAGCCCUGGGGACAGCUGCCCACAACAGGGCUGCUACCUUCUGGGGCUGGCUUUCUGCUUGCUUUAUGGGCUCAGAGUGAAUCUUCUGGAGAUGAGAUGCACACUCAUAGCAUUCAGAGCUCAUUCCCUCAUGCAUUCAACAAAUUGAAUAUUCUUUAUGUGCCAGGCACUGGGCUAGGUACUGAGGUUCAGUGUGAACAAGUCAGGCAGGGGCCCUGCCUUCAGGCAUCUGCUUGUGGGUGUGGACACUAAACAAUGGCCGAGGUAGGUAACUGCAGAUCUGGGUAUGUGAUAGGAAGGGAGAGUGCAGGACUUGAUCAGUAUAAAAAAGAGGUCUAAUUUAGAUGCCAGGGGAAAGAGAGAGCUUCUUUGAGGAUGUGACAGAUAACCUGAGGACUGAACAUAUGAGUUGCAUUGACUGGAGGAAGAACAUGCUAGAAAGAACAGCAUUUGCAAAGACCCUGAGCCAGGAAGAAACUUGAUGCUUUUGUGGAAGUGAGAGGGGGCCUGUACUGCUGGAGUUCUCUGUGUUUGGAAGAGCGGGUGGUAUGAGGUGGGCAGGGGCAGCCAGGAACUCGAGGGCUGUGGGAACGCUAUGGUCACCAUCCUCAGAGUCCUAGAACGGUUUAAGCGGGGAAAGAAUAUGGUCUUUUUUUUUUUUUUUNNNNNNNNNNNNNNNNNNNNNNNNNNNNNNNNNNNNNNNNNNNNNNNNNNNNNNNNNNNNNNNNNNNNNNNUCUCAGCUCACUGCAACCUCCGCCUCCUGGGUUCAAGCGAUUCUCAUGCUUCAGCCUCCUGAGUAGCUGGGAUUA